rnacentral:lncRNA from 1 species
GGGGCCUGGAGGUGAGAAUCUUUUACCCAGGAAAGGUGAAUCAAUUCCAACCCAAGGAACAAGUCUUCUCUAGUUAAUGCUGAUGUGGUCAAACUCCAGGAUUGUAGCUGCAAGACUUUCAGCUCUGGUCAAAAACAAUGGCAUCAGAGGGAGCAGCAUUUCUUGAGACUGUGAGGAUUAAAAUUCUCUGAAGACUGAAUAUUAAUUCAUAAUUAUUUAUUAAAUAGUAAAAAUGGGUUGGAGAGAGUAAAGGCACAUAAUCACAUGAUCUAGCUAAUUUAAGUUUGCCUGCUCACCUCAUAUCUCUAUACCACCCCUAUUGCUUCCUAACCAAGAGACUGAAAACUUCUUUGUUCCAUCACUUAUAACCCCUGUGACUUUACUUUUUCUGUCUCCCUGGUUACACUGGGUCAGAGGUCAGGCUUCUUCAUACUAGGAGUCACAUGGGAGAAGAGUUGAGCAUCUUCCAAGACACUCAGGAGGCAGGAGACCUCCAGCUUCAUAUAUUUGGAUACAGGCCCAAAUGGUGGGGCUGACACACAAAAGGAUUUUCAAAACUUUCUUUUCUAAAAGUAAAGUAGGGUAUACAUUUAUGUUAAAUUCCCACGAGAUCUACUCAGUUUCAUCUUUAAAAAAAGUUUCAGCUUCAGCUAGAGCUAAAGAAGACUGAUUAUGAGGCUCCUUGGUAUAUUCCUGCUGCUCUCCAUGGCUCUGUGCUGCUUCUUAGAUACUGUUCAAGCUACAGCAUUUCUCAGAGAGCCUACAUGUGAAUGCUCAGAAAUGUAUGACCCUGUCUGUGGCACUGAUGGACAAACAUAUCUCAAUGAAUGUGAAUUGUGUAGGGAAAAUAGGAAAAAAAUUAUUCCUGUCUGUGUCCUAAGAAAAGGGGUCUGCUUAGUAUCCCAAAGAUCCUGGUGCUCCCGUUACCAUAGCUAAUCAGACUGAGUUUUAAAUAAAUGCAUGAGAUUGAUUGCUGCUCUUUAUGUG